AUCCAGCUGGCGAGUCCCCAAUAGGACUAAACGCGCAUCCUGGAU
rnacentral:hammerhead_ribozyme from 1 species